AAGGCACUGGAACAUGAGUUCAUCAUCUAGAAAAGUUAUUUUCUGUUCAUAUUUUUCUCCAGUUUAUGAUUAUGAAAAGAGAUGAAGAAAUCCCUUUAAGUACAUACAAUAGACUGAAAAUUCUUAAAUUGAUACCAUGAUAAACAUUUGAUCAAGUGCAACCUGAAGGGCAAUGUUCAAGUAUUCAAAGGUCCAAUAAAUUGAGCAACAGGCAGCCAAAAAUACAGUAUAUAUUUAAAAACAGACUUCAAAUUUUUCAGCUAAAUUCAAGAGCAAUUCCAACAUGUAAACAGACAUUGUAGCCAAAAAUGAGGUUAUCGUUUUAUAAAUCUCAUUUAACACUUUACAUUGUAUUAGGAUGCACAUACUGGGGAUAAAGAUAUUUAUUCAUUUCCAUUGAGAAACUCCACUACCUUCCUAAAACGGAAGCCCAUUGAUUACUUUACUUUUCUGCUUAACAUUAAUCCUGUUCAUAUAAACUGCAUAUAUACAUGUUUUUUUUCUGUGUAAUUUCAACUACAUCAUUUUUUGAAAGUAACAGGUUCAUUGGCAUAAGAGCUGCAAACAAAAGGAGACUGAAAUCAGAAAAAGAUUUGGACAUUAAUAUUGCUACAUCAGCAAACACAAGUGCCAGCAACUCUGGCUCAUCAAAAGAGUAAUCUUUCUAUCUAUAGAUUAAAUGUAGGUGUUUUCAUGUAUUUAGAUGUUAUCCGUAACAGCAUAGUGGAAUCUUGGAUUAUUUUUGAAAAUGAGGAAUAAAAUUUGUCAAAAUUAAUUAAAUAUCUUCUAAUUAAAAUAUGAAACGCAAUAACAUUAUGAAAUCAAUACAAUCCUUUCAUUUUUCAAAAUUUGAAUUUUUCAUCCAUCAUUUUAUUCUUGACAAUUUCAGAUACAAUGGAAUUUAUAUGGCACACAGCUGCAGAAAAAUUUGCAGCCUCUAUAUGAGUUGAGUCGUUUUGUAUAAUCCACUGUGUAUGCUAUAAAAUUGUGUACCACAGUUCUGAUGAGACUAAAAAUAUAGCACAUCUAAGACGCAGAGAAAAUCCAAAAAGCUGGAUGCAUGUAACAGUGAAAAGAGACAUUUCUAAUGCUUGAGCACAAACUAGCCUUCAAGUUCCAAACUGCUUGCCAGCAUUUCAGAGAGCCCACAACAACCAGCAGCCAAAACAGAAGGAAAACCUGCAGGCUGCCUGUAAUGAGGGGGCUUCAAAAAUCAGAAGAGCACCUUAAUUAGUUGCAGUAUAACUUCUUCCCUGAGAAAAACAAAGUAGAUUAUGUGAAAAGGUGCUACUACAUUAUGAUUUCAGUCUCAAAACAGAAGCUUGAUCUAGUUGUUUCAUUAGCCCGUGACAACAGGCUGGACUCCAUGUUAAUCAGCUUCUUCAAAGCCUCCAUUUUUAAGUAAAUGAAAUUCCUUGUCCGUUGGCUAUGGCAGGCAGGUUUUGUAUAGGACAAUGCUUUGAAAGUUCCCCAGAAAUCCAGGUCCUUUUAACUUCCAGAUUUCCAACUUUUUUUAGUUCUUAGGCCUGCAGCAUUGUAGCUUUAAUUUAUGUUAAUUAAUGAUUGGAUUAUGCUACUGUUGCCAAAGCAUCUGAUAUGUCUGCAUCGCUCCUCUGUUCUGUGACAAUGCCUUCAGUGAUUAGCUGGGCACAUUUAAACAUUGUUUGCACUGAUGCAUAAAUUUCCAUGCUGCUUUUGAGCAAGAAGAUAGUGGCAAAAGCUUUGAGUAUGCAGCAGACAGAGCUGAGUACAGUGCAUCGAUAGUGGAUUAGUAGGCACUGCUCCACAGUGGAGAGAGAAAACAUUAAAUGUUCUUCACUGCUAGCUAUACUGGAGAUUGUUUACAAAUAGUAAUAACCUUCAGGUCUGUCUUUUCAAUUUAACUCAUUCAUUAGUAGUCACAUCAGUUUUAUCUAUUCGCAUGCUUAGUUUCUGUAUUAUAUUGAUUUGCAGCAAUUCCCUCAGUUCUGUCACCUCGAUGCUGUACUCUCAGACUACAAACUUAAGUAUGUUUUGUUAUGUGACUGUUAUUAUAUUUCUAUAUAUCUUCCCUUUUUUAUCUGGGAGGGUAAAAAUCAUGAUAAAAAGUUCCGACUAACUUAGGAGUCUAAAUUUCAUUUUUAGACACAAUUUAAGCACCAUGAAGCCUUUGAUUCACAAUUAAAUGAAUAUAUAUUACGUGUAUAUGGAAAAAGACUUGGUCAAGGCAAUGAAACACAUCCUUCCUCUCCAGGUUGGAUAUCUAUAACAUUUGGAGCUCAUCUACGAAGGAGGCAUAAGCCCCAGUAACCAACAUGCUACUUGACCUGAGCUGGGAAUCAACACAUUUUUUGAACUUCUUUCAUCAUCUGGGAGUAAAGAAGCAUCCAGCAGAAUUAAUUUAGCAAGUUUCUCCACUAAGCUUGCAAAGAAAGAGUCUAGAGAAUAGAGAUCCUUCGGAUCCUGCAGUCAUGGUUCCCUAAACCCAGGGACAAAGGAAGAAAUGAAGACAAUUCUGACUUUCACUGAAAGAAAUUCUGGCAAAUUACCACUGCAAGACAGCCAGGAAAAUUUAUUAUUUAUACCUCACCAGUACACAGGUUCCACUAUGUAUGCCUUUUCCAAAUGAAAGUAGCUCUGUAUGGCAUGGACAUUUGUAUAGCAAAAUAUAUUAAAUAAAAAAAAUCUAACAAUUAGUACCCCUAAAAAUGAAGCAGCCACAAGCACCUUCUGAGUCUACUGGAAGUCUCCAGAUUGUCUGCAAUCUGCCUUUGCUUUCUUGCAAAAGGAUAGAAGGAUAAUAACAUCACUUGGUAAAGUUGAUAAAUAAAUGGAAAGAAAGUCUUUAAACAGCAUUGGACAACAUGCAAAUGGAGAGAGUAGGACAGAAGGAGAGAGAGAUUUCCCCCACCACCAAAUACAGAAGUGUUGGGGUAUAGAGCUCAAAAUCUUCCAAGUAGAAGAAACCUCUUACACAAAAACACAUUUUUUUUUCCCAGAAGUGUAAUGCAAAUCCUAUAAUCCUAACAUACAACAUUCAUUCCAAAUUUGAGCAUACUGCUAAAGCAGCUGUGAAAACCUGGUGAACUUGAGAUGAAAAGAGCCACACUGAUGAGCUGUCGGCAGCAGCAGCAGCCUCACAGCAAUGGGGAGAGAGUGCAGACAGGUGCUGGGCUGCACAGCUGCGGCUCCUGCAGGUGACCUUGGCUUAUGCUAGUAGUGCCUAUGGGGCUGCAGUGAGACCUAACAUCUGCCUCUACUCACUGGUGAACAUAUACUUGGGACCCUUUCUUCUGCUUUAGCACCUCUGUGAUCACUCUCAGUGCCUUGCAAGAAGUUGCCAUGGGGACAAGGUCUGCAAGAAGAUGACCUGAAACUGGGCACUGAGAUCAGUAUCUGAUCUUAACUCUGUGUCAUAAAGUCAUUCAAAGUUGAAGUCUGCUGAGAUAAAAGGCAGAUGUGUAGCCCAAGUUGGAUACACAUGCAGCAGCUCUCACCAGGGUGAGGAGGGGGGCUGGUCUCAAUCAGCAGAAGCUUGCAAUUAUCUUUACUGAGGAAAUUAUUUUAAAAUUGAAAUAAAUUGCUCAAAAAAAUUAAAUCUUCAUAAUACAUGACUUAUUCCUGUUUUCUGUAUGUUAUUUAAGUUUCAAUAAUUAAAGCUGUUCAGUUCCCAUCUCA